GAUGAAYGAAWYCGGGAGGCCUAAUACAUGCAAGUCGAACGGUAACAGGKUAGCAAUACUGCUGACGAGUGGCGCACGGGUGAGUAACACGUACACAAUCUGCCUUAUACUGGAGCAUAGCCUUGGGAAACUAAGAUUAACUCUCCAUAAUAUAGUGAAGCGGCAUCGCUUUAUUAUUAAAUCUCCGGAGGUAUAAGAUGAGUGUGCGUCUGAUUAGCUAGUUGGUAAGGUAACGGCUUACCAAGGCAACGAUCAGUAGCUGGUCUGAGAGGAUGAUCAGCCACACGGGCACUGAGACACGGGCCCGACUCCUACGGGAGGCAGCAGUAGGGAAUAUUGGACAAUGGGCGCAAGCCUGAUCCAGCCAUCCCGCGUGAAGGAUUAAGGCCCUAUGGGUUGUAAACUUCUUUUCUCUGGGAAUAAAAAGUGGGAUUUAUCCUGCCUUGAAGGUACCAGAGGAAUAAGCACCGGCUAACUCCGUGCCAGCAGCCGCGGUAAUACGGAGGGUGCAAGCGUUAUCCGGAUUCACUGGGUUUAAAGGGUGCGUAGGUGGCUUUGUAAGUCAGUGGUGAAAGCCCGGAGCUCAACUCCGGAACUGCCAUUGAUACUGCUUAGCUUGAAUCACGUCGAGGUGGAUGGAAUAAUACAUGUAGCGGUGAAAUGCUUAGAUAUGUAUUAGAACACCGAUUGCGAAGCAGUUCACUAGCGUGUAUUGACACUGAGCACGAAAGCGUGGGGAUCAACAGGAUUAGA
rnacentral:rRNA from 1 species